CCUACGGGAGGCAGCAGUGGGGGAUAUUGCACAAUGGGGGAAACCCUGAUGCAGCAACGCCGCGUGGGGGAAGAAGGUUUGCGGAGGGUAAACCACUGUUCGUGGUGAAGAGAAUGACGGUAACCAAGGAGAAAGCUCCGGCUAACGACGUGCCAGCAGCCGCGGUAAUACGUAGGGAGCAAGCGUUGUCCGGAUUUACUGGGUGUAAAGGGUGCGGAGGCGGUCUGGCAAGGCAGACGUGACAACCACAGGCUCAACCUGUGGACGGCGUUUGAAACUGUGGGGCUUGAGUGAAGUAGAGGUCGGCGGAAUUCCCGGUGUAGCUGUGCUAUGCGU
rnacentral:rRNA from 1 species